ensembl:lncRNA
AUAUUCUGAAUUCUGUAAUUAUUACAUAGACAAAAAUGCCAGACCUGUUCCUUACAUUUUAUUUUAUUUUUAUUUUUCAUGUCAGGAGCCACUUGAGAAACUGUAAGUUGCUUCUGGUGUGAGCCAUUUGCAAGCACAUUGCCCAGGGGACACCUGGAUAUUUUGAUGUUUUUCCCAUCCAUGUGGAAGGCUUCUCUCAUGUCCCUGAAUGGAGCUGGAGCUGACAGAGGGAACUCAUCUGCACUCUUCCCCGGGUUGGAUUCGAACCGGCAACCUUCAGGUUUCCCCAUUACCUUUUCAAUCUUCUUACUCAGAAUAUACUUUUAAAGAAGAAAAGACAAUAUGGCUACAAAAUGCUUUUGAUUGGUGGCUCUUCAUCUGGAAUGAGUCAGAGCUCAAUAAAUACAAAGGAAGUGUUCCUUCUAAAUCAAUUGUGAGAAUGUACCCCUCUGCUGUUGCUGGUCAUCGACUGUAAUAAAUAAAUAUAUACAUGGUACCUCUCUGCAGAAAGUUUGUUAUUUAUUAUAUCUGGUGAAAUUGGCAUUUUCGAAUAUUGUUUAAAGGUGAGGAUUAUAAUAUUCAUUUUUAAAAUACCCCUUUAAAUAGAGACGAGGUGAGAGCACUAGGGCUUUGGAGCUUGGGAUCUUGUGACAGAUCUAAGCCAGCUUUAUGAACUGGGCUUUGUGAAAUGAUAAGAUGUGGAUGCCAAGAGGGAGAACCAUAGAAACUUAUAUUCCUGCCAUUCAGAAGAUUUCCUUCCUGAUCUGUCAGGAUUACAGAGAAAAUACUAAAAUCAAAGAUUUUUGUGUAGCAUUUCAUGGGACUGAAACAAAAGAGGCAUUUGCAGUUCAUAAAUAAUAUUUAAAUUUCUAAUUCUUUUGAUGAAUAUUUGUUUUGCAGUCUCUAUGAUGGCACAACUUCACUUUCAUAUUGAGUCGUUUCCUAUUAAAGAGCUAUAUCACGUGACUUGAAUUUGUGUAAGUGUUUAAAGCUAUACCAAUGGCAUGUUAGUACCACAAAGGGUAUUGCUAGGUGAAGUGGCCCUCUGUGAUGUCACUGGAUUGGCUGUUGCUAGGUGAAGUUACUCUUGUGAUGUCACUGGGAAAGAAAGGGGAUCUGUAUAUGAAGGGAAGCAGGGAGGAAGGAAAGGGCCACAAAGACAGCCUGCCCAGAAGGUUACCAUUUCAAGAAGUAGGCCUUCUUGGAGCUGCAGAAGGGUGAAAGUUGGCAGGCAGCAGGCCCAAUGACACCCAGGCAAUGCUGAGUAUGUGUGCUAGUUUUUCAUAAACAAAGGAGUUUCCAAAGGUCUGGCAUCUAUGCAUGAACUGAACUGCAAGAUUUGCAGCAAUCAUAGCUCUUGGAAGGCAAUGCAAGAACCAGUGACGCAACAAGAGGGAGGGAAUGAAAACCAGCUGAGUACAUCCUUUGGGUCAUCAGCUAUGCUGAUUGCCCCUCACAUUGAUUGAUGUUCGACCCAUAGACAUGCUGUCAACUUGACAUGCAAGAAUUUCCUCCAGCUGAUGUGCCCAGGGAGUCUUUUGUUUUAUCACCAGCCUUGCUCCGCCGUCAAGAGAGGGAUUGGAUAAUAAGGAUGUAAAAAUCAAAGCCCCUGAUCUAAUAAGACUUUUGUGUGGAAUUAGUGGGAACAAAUACUGACAGAUUGCUAACGUGUAACAGUGAAAAUUACCAACAUGAUGAGACUUGCACCCUAACCGGCACCUCAUGUUAUCCCAUUAACAAAAUUGAUGAGACAAAAUUGCUAAUAGGAGAAAACUUUCAGGUUGGAUUAUAUCAUCCCUCUAAAGAAUUGAUAAUGAAACAAAAGGAAACAAAUGGAAUAUGAGGGAGCAAUUAUGGUCAAAAACCUGUCCUCAAACCGAAAUUGACACAUUCAAGAAGAAACUGAAAUGAGUGGGAUUCAGACUUCGACUUAGAGUGGAUGGAAACCAAUGGGAUUUAAGCUUGGCUGUAAAUAUGGCCAAGGUGAUACUCAACCCAGAGAAUUUCAUUUCACAUUCAACCUGGGGGCAGUAAGGGCUACCACUUGAAUACACAUUUGUUCAUUUGUGUGUUUAAUUUAUCUUGAGCUUCUCAUUUAGGAUCAUCUCCCUAAAUGACUUAUAAUGAAAU